UACAUAUAAACAUUACUCAAUGGACAAGGAGGCUUUACAAUUAAUAACAAAUCUAAUGACAGACAAUCGUAUAUUGAAUUGGACCUCAUUGGAAAUGGGCUGGACUCCAACCUAAUGGCCGUUCCUGAUGCUCGUGAUGUAGACAAAGAAGCCUCAACUAUGAGGAAAGAAUGCCCAGACUGAAAGGGCCACAGAACUUACCAAUUUUUCAUAUAUAGCCACAAAUUGUGUCACUCAUCAAGCUUCUGGAUAUAAAAUUAAUUAAAAUAAAGUGUGAAUUUUCUUUUUAAAAUAUUUUCCUCUGCGAAAAUCUCAAAAAUAUUGUUAGCUAUAGAUAUUAGAUAUAGACCUAAGUAUAUAAAUAUAAAAUGUA